AAUAUUUUACAAUGGGGGCAACCCUGAUCCAGCCAGUCCGCGUGUGUGAAGAAGGUCUUCGGAAUGUCCAGCACUUUAAGUUGGGAGGAAGGGCUUUAGGUUAAUACCCUGAAUUUUUGACGUUACCAACAGAAUAAGCACCGGCUACCUCUGUGCCAGCAGCCGCGGUAAUACAGAGGGUGCAAGCGUUAAUCGGAAUUACUGGGCGUAAAGCGCGCGUAGGUGGUUCAGUAAGAUGGGUGUGAAAUCCCCGGGCUUAACCUGGGAACUGCUUUCAUAACUGCUGAGCUAGAGUACGGUAGAGGGUAGUGGAAUUUCCUGUGUAGCGGUGAAAUGCGUAGAUAUAGGAGGGAACACCAGUGGCGAAGGCGACUACCUGGACUGAUACUGACACUGAGGUGCGAAAGCGUGGGGAGCAAACA
rnacentral:rRNA from 1 species